rnacentral:rRNA from 1 species
UAACGUAGGGCGCAAGCGUUGUCCGGAAUUAUUGGGCGUAAAGAGCUCGUAGGUGGCGUGUCGCGUCUGCCGUGAAAGCCCAUGGCUUAACUGUGGGUCUGCGGUGGAUACGGGCAGGCUGGAGGCUGGUAGGGGCAAGCGGAAUUCCUGGUGUAGCGGUGAAAUGCGCAGAUAUCAGGAGGAACACCGGUGGCGAAGGCGGCUUGCUGGGCCAGUUCUGACGCUGAGGAGCGAAAGCGUGGGGAGCGAACAGG